CUUUCUUUGCUGGCGACCGGCGCACGGGUGAGUAACACGUAUCCAACCUGCCCUUUACUUGGGGAUAGCCUUUCGAAAGAAAGAUUAAUACCCGAUAGUAUAAUGAUUCCGCAUGGUUUCAUUAUUAAAGGAUUCCGGUAAAGGAUGGGGAUGCGUUCCAUUAGGUUGUUGGUGAGGUAACGGCUCACCAAGCCUUCGAUGGAUAGGGGUUCUGAGAGGAAGGUCCCCCACAUUGGAACUGAGACACGGUCCAA
rnacentral:rRNA from 1 species